rnacentral:rRNA from 1 species
CGGCGAGUGAAGCGGGAUGAGCUCAAGCUUAAAAUCUCUGUGCAGGUUCUGCAUGGCGAAUUGUAGUCUAUGGAGGCGAUGUCAGUGCGGUUGUGCGGGAUAAGUUCCUUGGAAGAGGACAGCAUCGAGGGUGAUACUCCCGUAUGUGCCUGUACAGCUGCGCGUACGACACGUUUUCUUUGAGUCGCGUUGUUUGGGAAUGCAGCGCAAAGUAGGUGGUAAAUUCCAUCUAAAGCUAAAUAUUGGUGCGAGACCGAUAGCGAACAAGUACCGUGAGGGAAAGAUGAAAAGAACUUUGAAAAGAGAGUUAAAGAGUACCUGAAACUGCUGAAAGGGAAUCGAAUCGUUUCCAGUGUCUAUAAUCCAUGACAUAUUUCAUUGGCGCGUGAAUGCGUGCAGCGUUUUGGAAGUGGGUUUCCUCUCCUGGCGUUGUUGUGCGUUUGCUUGCUGGUGCCCUGUGUUGUGGUGGGACGUCAGAGUCAGUUCGUAUGCCGCGGGAAAUGGCUGUCAGGGAGGUAGGUCGCUUCGGUGAUUGUUAUAGCCUGGCAGUUAGUAGUCGUGGUUGGGACUGAGGUGCCUACAACGCGCUUUCGAGUCUGCGGGACUCUCGUCUGGUUGCCUGCUUGGACAGCUUGCUGUGCUAGUGGUCACAUCGGGCGAUUGAGAUCUGUAGUAACUUGU